AAAAAUAGAAUUCAAAAUAGAAACUCUUGUGAAAUACGUGUUCCAUGCCCGUCCUCUUUCUCUGUGAAAGCAUGAGUCCGAAUCUUUCGGGUUUGAAGGUGCUGUAGACGCGCAAAAAAUGCCUCUUCGGUCGGGUCGUUGCAUCGGAAUACGGAUAUAGCUUUUAAGAGCCUAAAAGUAGGCAGUUUUGAUCGACCGGCAGGAAAGUAUACUCUCGAUAAAUUCGCUUUUAAUUUCAGAAACAGUUAAACGCGUGGUGCUCAUUUGAUCACAGUGGGAUCGUGUCAUAAAUCUCUGUGCUUCAAUUCAGGAUUGAACUUCACUUUUCUUUUCUUGAGGUUACCAUCAAUUAUGAAUCGACGGCAUAAGUGCAUGCUCUUAAUCUGCCUCAUAACACAUUCAGUUCUUCCAACCGGUCAAGCCUUAUCAGAAGAACAACUCAGGGAGCACAACGAAAAAUAUCCACCUCGGAAAAAAUCAGAACCUCCAGAUAAUGGUGCAAUAGAGAAAGAGGAUAGCUUAACAAGAACACGAAGAAAAUAAUGGAAGCACACCCGAGUUUCUCGAAUUUUGUCGCUUUACCUCCGGAGUAUUAUGAACCGAUACCAGAAAAUGAUCCACUAGAACAGCCUCCCAUCUCGCGCAAUAAGAAUUGGGAAUUAAUGCGGUCCGACUGUGAUUACUUCGGGAUUCUGCACUUCAAAGAGGACAUUUCUCUCGCUCCGAUGCCUUUAAAAAUACCUGUAACAGACGAAGAAGUGGGGGUCGACUACGAGUGCGAAUUUUCAGAUGCAGCCAAGAAAUUAGUACGACAAAAGGGAGCUUCAUGGUUUAUUUUUAGGAAGCUCUACGCUACGAGCCCUAGAAUGUCGAGGCUGUACUUAAAGAGGUUCGGCAUUGAUAUCAAGGGCGUGUUGUUCCCUGAAAAUACCCCAGGUUCCAGGAAAAGUACCUCGCGGGGAGACAGCCUUGGAAGCAGAUCCUCAAGGUUUCUAAAUGAAGCCAUAGCCAAAUUACCAAAUCGCCGAGCAGUAAGGGGCAAAAUACGUACUCUGGAUCAAGUAUGAGUGAUAUGAAAACCAGGAUGUCCAGAUCUAACACGUUGAAAUCGAUGACGAGCCAGCUGGUCAGAGCGGUUAACCCAUCUAAAUGGUCGCUGCUCAGGAAUCGGAGAGUUGGGUUGGCGCAGACGGUCAAAAAAGCCAAUCAGAAUCAAGCCAACCAGAAUCAAGCCAAUCAGAAUCAGAAUAGGGCGUCUUGAUGCCCUGAAGUUCGGACUCUUCCGGUUGAUUUUGUCUUCGCAAAGCGACACCUUCAAUUUGCUUCCACUCCGCGCUACUGGACGAAGAAACAUGUUCUAUUUAUAUUUUAAUUUAUUUAUUUUUUCGUUGUUUUUAACCCCCCUUCCUCCUCUCUUGUUAUGCAUUUACCUUUCUUUUAAGUUCUGUACUUAGAUUGAUCGAACAUCCUCCACUGUUAAAAUAUCUGAACACGUUGUUUCUUUUAUUUCGGUUAUUUGUCCGAAGGACCGCAAUCUCAGUCUACCGUGCCUCGUAAAAACUUAGUAAACGUAUUCGAAUGUUGCCAAAUUUUUUUCUUUGAAGAUAUCCUUUUUUGACGGAAGUAUGAAUAAUUGUCCUUGAAAUUUUCAGACUUUUCACAUCAAAUCCCGAACAAAAUCGUGUGAGAACUCGGAGGAGAAAUAUCCACAGAUUUUCCUGAUAAUUGGAUGUAUUUCUGCCAAACGGACUUAUGUUCAUUAUGACAUGAGCCCUGUCAUGCAUACAUUCUUAUGGGUUUCAGGGCUCACGCUAUAAUGCAUAUAGUUCCGCUUCGUAGAAAUACGUCCAAUUCGUGUUUUGUCAAAAGAAAUUUGGCAACGUCUGAUGGCUCAUCAGUGGCGUGGCGUGCUGUUCGAUAUAUCGAUUGUUAUGCCAUUUAAACCUAUGGAAAAGGAUCGAUAAACAGGGUGUUUGCAGCGAACACCUUAAUAAUCGAUUCUUUACCAUAGGUUUAAAUGGCAUAACAAUCGAUGCAUCGCAGUUCACGCCACGCCACUGUGGCUCAUACGGCGUUCCUACUAAGCAAGGCAGUAGUGUUCCCAUUAUCCGCGGGUGGGUAAAGGAAACACAGCUUUGCAUCCUUUUGCCCCCCCCCCCCCGAGGAUAGAAGCCCCCCGGCCCCCACCUACCCCGAAAACAUUCUUCAACGAAUAAACGAGUGCGUAACUAGAUUGCAACCUUCUGUAUUCCGUUUACCAGUCCAUACGGGUAGAGUCCCUUUAUACUGAGAGUCAAGACAAUUCGGCUCAUGGAUGUCACAAACGGAAUAAAGAUUACAGAAAUUGAACGUUUUUCGUAAUCUUUGAUCGGCCCAUUCUCAAAUUCCUUUCUCCGUUUCUCCUCUCAUUCCGUUUUUUUCCUUGCCGAACCUGUAAUUCCCUGGUCCAUUCCAGAUUAUAAUCUUUGCAAUCGGUAAAAAUGUAAUCUUUAUUCCCGUUUGUGACACUGUGGAGGCCUAAAAUACGGGAACCAAUCAGAAAUGGAUUCAAAUUGUCUUGACUCUCAGUAUAAAGGGACUCUACAUACGGGUAGCGGGAACACAGCAUAUCGACGGUGAAACUACCAGCCCGCGUAUCUCGGUUCGCGACGUUGUAGACUUCCUGUCGUAUUUUAUUUUUUAAAUGGAAACCACCCAACGUCAAUUCUUUAAACUUAUUCCGAAUGUUUCUUCUCUGUGCGAGGAAAACUCUGUGAAAAGUUGAAGAAAUGACAUUGAUUUGUUCUUUUUCGAAAAAAUAAAAUAGGAGCGGAGAUUUUUAAAACAUCGCGAACGAGAUCCGCGGUUUCGUAGUUUCACCGUCGAUAUCCAUGCUCGAAGUGCGAAACCGCGUAUAGCUGUUCGCGACGCCGCAGACUUCCUAUUAUUCUUUCUUCUCUUUUUGGAAAACAAUGAACGGAAUUUCUCAUGAAAUUCCAUGAUUUUGUUUCUCUGUUAGCAGGACAUGCUGUAUGAACAAGCUGUAAAGUUGGCUGUUUGCCUAUUCAAAAAGGUGGAAUAGGAGCGAAAAUUUUGAGACGUCGCAAUAAUGGACAUCGAUAUGCUCCUUCGGAUGAACACACGCGCUCAAAUUUUUAACAAAGUGUUCCAGAUUGUAUCCUUUGAUUUUUUUCUUACUGUUUCUGAUGAUUCUUUUUGUCAUUCUCCUUGUAAUUUAAAGACUUUGUUUCUCAUUAUUUCUCAAAAAGUUGUUCCGUAAAGAUCAAAAUAAAUCGUUUUUACAAGAAACUUGUUUUCCAGAGUGCUGUUACACUCAAAAAAGGUAUGACUCUGAGACCCAUAAAAAAUGGCUCGGAGAUCCAUAAUUUCUAACAAAAACGACUUACCGUCU
rnacentral:lncRNA from 1 species